rnacentral:rRNA from 1 species
CGAAGGGGCUAGCGUUGCUCGGAAUUACUGGGCGUAAAGCGCACGUAGGCGGAUUGUUAAGUCGGGGGUGAAAUCCUGGAGCUCAACUCCAGAACUGCCUUCGAUACUGGCGAUCUCGAGUUCGGGAGAGGUGAGUGGAACUGCGAGUGUAGAGGUGAAAUUCGUAGAUAUUCGCAAGAACACCAGUGGCGAAGGCGGCUCACUGGCCCGAUACUGACGCUGAGGUGCGAAAGCGUGGGAGCAAACAGGAUU